rnacentral:lncRNA from 1 species
AAAGAAGAAAAGCUCAAUCGACAGAUUGACUUCACGAAGUGCUACUUAAUCACUGAAGAAACACGUUGAAGAACCUGGUCCUCAGUACAGAAUCUAGCUAAGAAUUUUAGCGUUGAUUUUUAGAAUUGUUCAUUGUGUUUGAGCUAUUCAUGUAAUAUUAGUUUCAGUGUGUUAUAAACUGAAUUAGGAGCUAGUUUUCGAGUUGGGUACAGAAUCUAGCUAAGAAUUUUAGCGUUGAUUUUUAGAGUUGUUCAUUGUGUUUGAGCUAUUCAUGUAAUAUUAGUUUCAGUGUGUUAUAAACUGAAUUAGGAGCUAGUUUUCGAGUUGGGGAAAAUUCAGAGACUUUGGGAACACAUACCUUGGAGGGUGUGUGUAGUUAGAAAUUAGAGUUUAUAAUUCCUAGUUAUUGAGUUAUAGGGAUUAGAGUUUAUAAUUCCAGUUGUUGAGUUAUAGGAAUUAGAGUUUAUAAUUCCUAUUUGUUGGUUACAAGAGUUUUGUAAUCGGUCGUUGUUGAGGCUCAGAGUUUUUUAGUGAAGUUGGAGUUAAAUCCUGUAGAGGUGCAGGUCGUAGUUUUUUACACCUUUUGAGCCAGGUGUUUUCCACGUAAAAAUCAUUGUGUUCUUUAUUUUCUCUUUACUGCUUCCUUGAAACACGUCAGGUAACACGUUCCAUCGAUAAGCAAAAAUUAGGCGAAAAUAAGAAAAUCUGUAGGG